GUCCCUGUAGUUCAAUGGAUAGAACAAAUCUCUCCUAAGGAUUAAAUGCAGGUUCGAUUCCUACCAGGGACA
rnacentral:tRNA from 1 species